rnacentral:rRNA from 1 species
GCGCUGAAAGCAUCUAAGCGCGAAGCCUGUUCCAAGAUGAGAUCUCCUUCAAGGGCCGUUGGAGACUACGACGUUGAUAGGCCGCAGGUGUAAAGGCAGCAAUGCCAAAGCCGAGCGGUACUAAUUGCCCGAAGACUUACAGAU